ACGCUGGCGGCAGGCCUAUCACAUGCAAGUCGAGCGGUAGAGAGAAGCUUGCUUCUCUUGAGAGCGGCGGACGGGUGAGUAAUGCCUAGGAAUCUGCCUGGUAGUGGGGGAUAACGUUCGGAAACGGACGCUAAUACCGCAUACGUCCUACGGGAGAAAGCAGGGGACCUUCGGGCCUUGCGCUAUCAGAUGAGCCUAGGUCGGAUUAGCUAGUUGGUGAGGUAAUGGCUCACCAAGGCGACGAUCCGUAACUGGUCUGAGAGGAUGAUCAGUCACACUGGAACUGAGACACGGUCCAGACUCCUACGGGAGGCAGCAGUGGGGAAUAUUGGACAAUGGGCGAAAGCCUGAUCCAGCCAUGCCGCGUGUGUGAAGAAGGUCUUCGGAUUGUA
rnacentral:rRNA from 1 species